GACGAACGCUGGCGGCGUGCCUAAUACAUGCAAGUCGAACGCAGUGGGGACGGGCGAGUAACACGUGGGUAACCUCCCAUCAGAGGGGAUAACACUUGGAAACAGGUGCUAAACCGAUACUGAUGGAUGGACCCGCGGGGCAUUAGCUAGUUGGUGAGGUAACGGCUCACCAAGGCCACGAUGCAUAGCCGGCCGGAGAGGGUGAUCGGCCACACUGGAACUGAGACACGGCCCAGACUCCUACGGGAGGCAGCAGUGGGGAAUAUUCCGCAAUGGGCGCAAGUCUGACCGAGCCAUGCCGCGUGAGUGAAGAAGGUUUUCGGGUCGUAAAACUCUGUUGUUAGGGAAGCGUUAUCUAACCAGAAAGCCACGGCUAACUCCGUGCCAGCAGCCGCGGUAAUAC
rnacentral:rRNA from 1 species